GUCCUUCUCAUCACGAGGUGUGUUUUGGUGGAAUGACGUCCUUCUCAUCACGAGGUGUGUUUUGAUGGAAUGACGUCCUUCUCAUCACGAGGUGUGUUUGGAUGGAAUGACGUCCUUCUCAUCACGAGGUGUGUUUCUAAUGUAAUUUCCAGUAAAAAGAGUGACAACGUAGCCUGUGUAGCCGGAUUCUAUUUCUUUGUGUGUAACAGUCAGUUUAGCUUAUGAAACAUUUGCUUAGUAACCGGACACCAAUGUGAUCUGUGAUAGACGUACUAUAUUUGCAUAACCCUUGUGAUAAGGAUAUAUGUGAGGGUUUUUGAAUCAGGAUAAAUCCUCUUAUCUUUUCGAGCUCAUUAAUGAUAGAAUGUUCAUACGUGACCCGAUUCAAGAAGCUAGUGUAACGGCUGUCUGUAAGAGGGAACCAAAGUGCAGCAGAGGAUGUGUUCAUCAUUAGAAUUUUAAUUCAAAUAAACAA